CGACGGGUUAGCUCAGUUGGUAGAGCGAUUGACUGUUAAUCAAUUGGUCAUCGGUUCAAAUCCGGUACUCGUCGCCAA
rnacentral:tRNA from 3 species